rnacentral:rRNA from 1 species
CCGUAGGUGAACCUGCGGAAGGAUCAUUGUCGAAACCUGCCCAGCAGAACGACCAGCGAACAUGUUUAAUCCAUUCGAGCGUCGGCGAGGUGUCGGGAGCCUUGUGCUUCCGCCCUCUCUCGCUCGAGCCAAGGGAGAUGUCAUCGUGGCCUCUUCCUCGGCAAAUAAACGAACCCCGGCGCGAAAAGCGUCAAGGAACAUAACUACAUAUGAGCUCCUGCUUGCCGCCCGGUUAGCCGGUGCGCGGGUUUGGUGCCAUGUCAUAACAUUAAACGACUCUCGGCAACGGAUAUCUCGGCUCUCGCAUCGAUGAAGAACGUAGCGAAAUGCGAUACUUGGUGUGAAUUGCAGAAUCCCGUGAACCAUCGAGUCUUUGAACGCAAGUUGCGCCCGAGGCUUUUGGCCGAGGGCACGUCUGCCUGGGCGUCACGCAUCGCAACCCCCCCAACCACCACGUGAGGGAGGAUGAUGGUUUCCCGUGCCUCACCGGGCGCGGUUGGCCUAAAUAAGGAGCCUAAGGCAUCGGUUUGCCGCGGCGAUAGGUGGAGAACAAGGCCUCGGCCGUGGAAUCAACCGGUCGCGCAUACCUUUGAAUAUAGAGCUCGCAGGACCCAUUGUUGUCGCCUUGUUGCGUCACAAACGUUGCGACCCCAGGUCAGGCGGGGCUACCCGCU